rnacentral:lncRNA from 1 species
AGGGCUAUAAGUUUAAAGCCUGAUUUCCAGAGCUCUGCAUGGUUUCUGCAUUAACAUGGAUAAUAAUACUUUUACCCGCUACUAUCACUUCAGUUUGGGUUUGCACACCAGCAGAACAUUCAGUUAUUUAGAGCAGGUUUCAUUUUUUCCAUUAGGUAAUGGAUAAAUCUGCGUGUGUAGGAGGCAUUUAUUCUGGUAAAUAUGACUCUGUGCUCGUGUGUUUCUGUCUCAGGCUGGACCCACUUGAGUCUGGACACGGAGAGUCCUCCUUCCAGAACCGUUUGAAGAUUAAGACUCGGUUUUUAGGGUCUGACUCGGGUAAAGGUGGGGGUCAGGUAUGCAGCCGUGGUGGUAAAGGUUUGAAGGGUCAUGGAGGAUCCUCACAAAGGUAGAAGCGCAGACGUGAUGGACUCUGCAGCUGUUAGGAGAUGGCACCUCCUUCUUGUCUUUUGUUGUCCAAUCUGCAUGCUUUUAUUUUGAAAAGCCGCUUUUCUUUGAAAGUCUGAGAUGCUGGAAAGUUUUCCUGGAGGAGUUUUUCUCUGGGUUUUACUUUCUUUCUUGGUUUGAUCUCCGUUUUUCUCUCUGUGCUCAGCUCGAUUCAAACAUUCAUCACCUUGGCACGGCUGUCACUACGCUGUUGCCAAAGCAAUAAAAUACAUAACAAUCUGGAUCCAGCUUGUAUGUGUAUGUGUGUGCGUGUUGGGUGCGUGUUGAUGUAUUUCCCAUCAGCCCCGGUCAUCUUUAACCCAGCCCUUUCCCAGAAUCCUCCACUGACUCACUUGAAGCUGGAGUCAGCUGUUUGAAUAGUCUGAACAAAGAAAAGUCAUUUUAAGGAAGCAACGUGACGCUCAGUCACAGCUGGUCACACCUGUUUCGGAAUUUUUACCUGCAGAACCGGACGGCUGCUUACAUAACGUCAGUCUGCUGUUGUGGCGUAGGCAGAGAAGAGCCAGUCUCUGGAGGAAGACAGUCUCUUGUUUAAGGUUAAAGAAAGUGUUUUAGGGAGCCUGUUUGCGGAGGAACCACAUCAGUUACACGUGUGGAAAAUCCCACAUGGUUCCUGCUGUUAGCAUGUGGGCCGCUCCACAUGCACGGUUAUGUCCAUCAUAUGGUUCUGGUUGGUUCUCAGGAUAGAUGGAGGGUUGUUCUGUGAUGAAAUGAUGAGAUACGAUCAAACAUGUGAGUCAGACUCACUGGGGACAGAUUUCUCUGUGUUAGUGCUGAUUUUCCUCGUCCUGCAGCUGUCAGUGUGCGACCAAGUCCUGAUAAGUUUCUGUUCUGGUUUUCAUCAAAAAUGAUUCAGUGGUUUUUUGGUCUUGAUUAUAUCUAAGAUGACUCCAUUUCAGCUCGUCCUGGCUCUUCUUUGACAGGUUUGUCUCUGAGUCUGCAGAUCUGCCGCUCCUUUAGUGACUAAAUGAUCAGACUGGAUCGAAUCACUUUGGGAUCUUUUUCUUUUUGAGGGGAAUAGAGGGAGGAAAGAGAGGGGACAGGGGCUAAGGAGAGACAGGACCUAUGAGAAGACAUGCAGAACCGCAUGCUCCUCUUCCAAAAACAUGCUCUUCUGAAAACAUGCUCCUCUGACAGCAUGCUCAUACUCAUUUAAAAUGCUUUCAGUGCAUUUUAAAUUUCACAUUUAAAUUUCAUCCUCAAAUGUUCAAAGUUUAUUCCUUUAAAAAUGCAGCAGUGCAUGUAUUAAACAUUUGAUCAGAGUCAGUCUGCAGUUACGCUGAGAUCAUCCUGAUGGCUGACUGAUGUCCAGGGAUCUCUAGUUAAUGCAACAGCGUCUGCAGUCUUCAGGAGUUCCACUGUGGUUGGUUUCAGUGCAGUGCAGGUCCUGAAAGCAUUUGGACAUGCACAGAGUUGUCUGAUUUGAGGUUGAGCUGAAUUGGAUCAGAAUCUUCCGAUCGACAUGUUUACAUGACGCAUUUUUAUUCCAGUCUGCAUUUAUUCCGAUUAUUUGUGCCCAUGUAAACACAACUAAUGUGAGGACAUCCUACAGUCCUGAAUCUUCCUCAGUAACUGACCGACAGUCAUGUCCUUUAAACAGUGCUGUACUUAUUGUUUGUGUUUAAGUUUCAUCCUCAGCUCCAUGCUGGUUCUCCUUGAUAAUGCUCUAUCAGCUGUUGUGAGGUGUUAACCUGCUGACAUCAGUCUGAUCAGCUGCACCUGCAUACUUGGCUCACAGCAGGUAGCUCGAACUCAAAGUAUGUUAUGUGAUGGUAUUAUUUCCAUCACUGCUGCAGAGAGAGGGCUGACUGCUUUGGCUCUGCUAUGGUGGGUCAAAGGAAAACUAAAGACAGGUCAGUCAGACCUUUGUCAUAUCCAGUUUAAAGUUAAUUUCAGUCAAGUUCUGACCUUUUUGUCUUUCUGAAAUAAACUCCAAGAAACCCAGAUGCCAGUCCUGAUCCUCACCAACUAUGGGUUGUAAUUUUGGAGUAAAAGUCCGGGUCGGUUUUCUGUCAAUUCUUCCCGAGCUUGUUGCCUUUCUUUGAGUAUGACUCUCACAGUUAAACUGCUCAGAUCUUGCUCAGAUCUGGCACACACACAAGCACACACGCAGUCUUGUGCACACACAUUGACAUACAGUCUAUCUGAGUUAUGUAAGCUGUUACUCUGACCACACCUCACAGUCUGAUCCUCUGACUGUAGACAGUUUAUCUUAUGUGUCAGCUGGAUCCUUUGACUGUCUCAUACAGGUGUGAUUAGUCAGCUCAUCUGGUUCAACCUAUUGCCAGGACUGCGACUGUUCUUGUGUAACAUCUGGUGUAAGUGCAGCUUCCUCAUUUUUCUUUCUGAUCUAGAAGUGUUUACCUCACCUGAUCAAGAUCACCAAUUUCUCUAAUCUGGAACGCUGAAGAUUUAACAUCUGAUCUGGGGUUGUUUCAGUCUAAUAGAUUCGGAUUCAAAUCCCAGCCCCCACCUUCAGUUCAGUUCGUUAUGAUUAUUGAUAUUAAGUCCGUUGCUGUUGGAGUAACUAAACAAACAUGCAUGUUGAUACAGUGAGAUUUGGAGGGUGUGUUUUCAGGUCAGAGGUUGGUGUGAUGGAAACUUGAUAAACCUCAUGGUGCAGGUGUAGAUUCAGCUGCAGCGUGUUCUGCAAGGCAGCAGGUCCAACAGGCGUGCAGCUGAAAUCAGUCCUUUAGGAAGUGGUGAGUUUUCUGCAGAAAAAAGCAGGUGAAGGUGUGGUCCAGAGCAGGAAGUUGUUGGUCUGUGAUGCUCUGGUAGAUUUUGUACUUGCUGCAGAGCUGAAGGAGACUGGUUUACCCUCUUGAGCAGAGAUGUUCAGAUUCUUCAGGGCCUCUUUGACCACAGCUGCGGUGCUUUUUUGUGUGUGCGCUUUUGUUAAUGACUAAAUAGUUAGUCAUGUUCUCUGUUUGGGGCUCAAACUGGUUGUUUAUCAUGUGAAAAACUGACACCUUUGACUUCAAUCCAGCGGAGUCUCUGUGACACUGACAGUGUGGAUGUGAGGUGUCCCCCUGAUCCUCCUGUUUAUCUCUUUUCCCACGUGACCUGAACGCAGCAUUCCUCUGGAGUUACAGCACAUGCCGCCUCUAAUUGCAGAGAAUUAAUGCUGGGGAUUCUUCAGGGACUCAAAUACCCAGAAUGCCGCAGAGGUGACAGUGACUGUGUGGGGUUACAUCAGAGGAUCAGACUUGACUAAUGUUAAAGGUGGGAGGACAGAGGAGGAGUGUCAUCCCUCCAUCUGGAGUCAGGAGGUCAUCAUCACUCCGCCUACUGUGUGUGUGUGUGUGUGUGUGUGUGUGUGUGUGUGUGUGUGUGUGUGUGUGUGUGUGUGUGUGUGUGUGUGUGUGUGUGUGUGUGACACAGCAUGUGUUUCCCAUCUGGUUCCACCCAGUCCCUCAACACUGACUUCAUCCUGACCCCUCUCUCUCUCUCUUUCCCUCUCUUUCCCUCUCUCUCUCUCUCUCUCUCUCUCUUCUUUCAUUCACACUUUGGUUUUCCUCUCGAACACACUCAUCCUCUCUCUUUCUUCCUCUUGCUCUUGUUUCCUCCCUUCUCAUCCCUCCUUCCCUCGUCUCCUUUCCUCAAAGUAACUCUACACCUUGACCUCACGCUCCUCUCUCUCUCUCUGUUUGUGUGAAGUCAUCAGACAAACUUUCCUCGGCCCGACUCCAUGAACAUGCCGUCAUCCUCCGUCUCUUCAUUCUCUGCCCAUCGUUCUGUAUCUCUUGGGAUCAGUUCAUGUGUUCAUCUGAAACGUGUCCUUUAAUCAAGUUUGUGCGGUGGUAAAGUGUGAGUCCGUGACUGCAGGAUGAGGUCAUUUCAUUUCUUUCCUUUGUCACUUUAAUAACGGCGUGUUUCAUUUUCUGAACCUCUGGUAACAGUCUUGCCGUCUCUUCCUGUUGUUUUUAAAGAUCCUCUCGCUUGUUUCCAGAAGACUCUUUAAACAAGUGAACAGAAAUGGAAACACGAUGAAUUAGCUCACGUUGUUGGCAGACGGUUUCCACUUGCCUAGAGGAGGAAACAACAAGUCAGAACUGGAUUCGUCUGAGCCAAACUGCAGCACUGAACCCCUGAGAGGACUCCUUCUCGAACACCUCUAUGAUGUGGCGCUUUAUGCAGCAUCAGUGACAGUCACCAUUUCCUCUACCCCGUGUCUGAUUUUACCAAAGUUAUCAGGAUUGUCACAGAUGUUGCUCUUUUCUUUCACUGCAUGCUCACAAAACAGAAGGGGGGUAUGCCCCCCCCCACCUCAGGCUUUAAAUUUACAACAUUAAAAGCAAUAAUGGGGUGGGAGAAAAAAUCGAUACAGUGUAGUAUCACGAUAUUUUGUCUGGUGAUAUAUUGUAUCGUCUCAUUUACCAAGUUUCCAUUUUUCAAAUUAAUUGUUAAUAUGAAGUCAAAUCUAUGAUAAUGGAAAAAUAAAAUCACCUGUUUGUCCAGUGAGGUUGGCAGAGGUGACAUCAAAGAGCAGAAGAAAGUUAGUGCAACAAAUAUAUAUAAGGUUUGCAAGAUGUGCUAAAUGAACAUAAAAUAUCGUGUAAAUAAGACAAACAUAAAGGAAAGACAAAUGCUAAAUUAGCUAAACAGUCAAAAUUGAAAUUGUAUAAAUCGCAAUAUAUUGUAUCCCAAUACUCACUAUAUUGCAAAAUGUUAAAAAUCACAAUAAUAUCGUAUUGUGGCCCAAGUAUCAUGAUAAUAUCGUAUCGUUGGGCCACUAGUGAUUCCCACCCCUAGUCAAUAAAAGCAUCUGCCAUUACGUCAAGCAUGAAUUAAACCUGAAAUUACUCUGCUUUUGUCCUUCAUCAAUCAUUUUGAUCCAAAUAUUGACUUUUAUGCCCUUUAUUAGAUGCAGCCAAUAUGUACGCACAUGAUACCUGCUCGGUAUUGUAACCUGGGAGGUUUUUGCUGAUGCUCUCUCAACCUUGGCCAGUGUCUUUUUUGUUCUGAUUGAUGCAUCAUACUGUGGCUUUAAAGGUAGAAGUCUUGUGUUUCUGCUGCGGAGGACGGUGGACUGUAGGGCUGGGAUGAUAUGCUUUUCAUCCGAUUCAAUUCUUCUAUGGUUUUUAGAUGUUUAUUUGAUUUAAAUUAUGAUUCUACAAUAUUGUUGAUUCUUUUGCUUUUUAGUCUGCAUUUUUAACACUAAUGAAACAGUUGAAUGAUUAUGAUUGUCGACUGACUGUUCCAGGAACCAUAUCUCCCCAAACUUGCGAGUGAAGUGAAGAUAAAAAACUUACGCUGAAAAUGGCAAAUAGAGCUUGGUGAGUGACCAUCGGAUGGUCACUACAUUUUGCAGUGCGAAAUUUUGAGUCGCCUAUAUGGGGCAUUGGAAUUGAUCACUCAGGUUUCGGACACCCCUCAAAAUGGCAUUAAUGCUCAUAUGGUCGCCUAUAUAUACAUUUCGGACACAGCCUUAUUGUUAAAUUUAAACAAAAAAAUCAAUUUUUGAACAAAACAAAUUGAUUUAAAAAUUGUAGAACAAACAAUUGUGACAAUUAUGUGAAUUGAUUUUUUCUCCCACUCCUAGUGGACUUACUAGAGCUGAGAUGGAGCAGAAGUAGGAAGUUAAAAUCACUCACUGAAGUUCAGAUCGAUCUAAAUGUAAAGGUUGUAAAAGUCUUAACAGUCCUUUGGUCUUUAUGGGUUCAUUUGAAAACCCUCACCAGCGCUCAUUCAGGUCCAGCCAACCCCUGACAGAGAGCCUUGACCCUUUGGGCUCUCCGUCCCUCUACAACUUCCUGGGUCGGAAGCAGGAGUGAACGAGCGGCACUCGAAGGCAGCAUCAGUCUUCAUGUGCUCCCUUAGAGUCGGCUGUCUCUGAGCACUAUCAGUCUUCCCAUUCAGCUUCCUGCCCUAUAAAUAUUUGAGCAGCCCCAUUAGAGGGUGAGGUAAUCUCAGCGCGCGCACACACACACACACACACACACACACAAAUAUUAAGCAGUGUAGUAAGGCCUAAUAGUCCUGUCGGAGCACUAGGCCCCCGAGCUAACCGGCUAAUUAAGAGCGAAACAGGUUUAACGAGUUUAGACUGUUCAUUAAGGCAGAGAGCUGAUUAAUUAAGAGCGAGAGGAGAGCUCGUUAACCAGACCAGUGAUUAAUUAAAGCACAGACGACAGAAAGUGUAACUUUAAAUGGAGAAAAGGUGAGAAAUGAUUACUACCGCAGUGAGGAGAAAAAUGGGUGGAAAAUUAUAAAAGAGGAAGAGGUGAGAAGGAGGAGGAGGAGAAAUGAAACAACGAGAGAGAGAGAGAGACAGAGAGAGAAGUCAAAAAAAGAAAGAGAGCUGAAGAGGGAGUUGGAAAUGAGAAAAAAAGCAGGAAGGAAGGAGAGAAUAAAGGUGAGAGAAGGGAGGGGAAAAGAAAAUGUUCAAUAAAGAACAAACAGAGUUAGAGUGACAGAGAGAAAGAGAGAGAGAGAGAGAGACAGAAGGGAGGUAGAGGUCAAAGAGACACAAAGACAAAGAGAGACUGUGGAGGGGAAAACAAUAGCUCCACACAACAAUUACACACACACACAAACUCUCACUCUCUCACACACUCACACUCACAGUUAGCUGAAUGUGGUCUCUUUGUGCUCUCCGGUGCAGAGGCCGGGUCGUGUGAUCGUCUCCUCCUCGGACAGCUGAGGUCGGGAGGAGAAGAAUCACUUCAGAACACUGAGCUGAGAGACAGAAACAGACAUUUGGAUCCAAAACAUCCAAAAAUCAAUCAAAUCAGAGACAGAUCUUUAUAUCUGUGGAAGUUACAUUUAAAUUAAUUCCAUUUAUUUAUUUCUCCUGUUUGUUUGUUUGUUUGCAUGUCUGAACUAAGAGCUCAGUUUUACUUUAACUUGGUGUGUCUGAUCCCGAUUCAUGGCGCAUAAACAGCUCAAUAUGAGCCAUGAAUAAAAACAGCUGAAAUGCAGUACUGGUACAACUUUAACCAAACAUCAAGGCUGGUCAUGACUGUUAGUUUUGUAUGUUUUUACUACAGGGUCAACAGGCAGGGAAUGAUGGAGAUCUUCCAUCUGAUGGAGGUGAACAAAUCAAACACACCUCCCCUGUCAGUAGGAACAGGUCUCCUCUGAUACUGUCAGUAAGGCGGAAAGGGAGGUGAGAGGUGAGGAAGGCAGUGAGGGGUCUGAAAAAAAAGGACAUAAAGGAGGAUGUGAGGUGAGAGAGAAAGAGGAGAGGAAGGAGGAGUGAAGGUGAGAGAGGAGACAAAAGCAGAGAGGAUGAUGGGAGGAGAGCAGACCUUGGAAGAGGAGCAGGUGCAGCUGACAGAGCCUUCAUCUGUUCCUAUGGUUUCACCUCAGUGUGUGUGUGUGUGUGUGUGUGUGUGUGUGUGUGUGUGUGUGUGUGUGUGUGUGUGUGUGUGUGUGUGUCCUCACAGAGAGAGAGCAUGAGACAACAGUAGUAAAGACUGCAGGAGUAAAUGAGAGCAGUGUCACAUCGGGUGAGUGUGUGAAUGUUUGUGUGUAACUGUGUAUGUGUGUCUAACUAUGUGUGUCUGCAUGUGUAUGUGAAUCUAAGAGGUGGCGUUUGUGUAUCCUGGUCUCUGUGUAGCUCUCUCUCUCUCUCUCAUUGAUGGUCUUGUUCGGUGUCCUCUAUGGUCUGUACCAGUCUGUAGUUUGAGUGAAAUCGUCAGCUGAAAAUGGUUAAACUCCUGCUGUAUGUUUAUAACCCUAUACUGGUCAAACUGGUUUCUAAACACUGGACUAGACUAAACCUGCACAUGUACAGUAUGUUAACCUAAAAGGAGACCGAAGUCUGGUGGAGCUAGUUCUGCUGAUGUUAGACCAGCACCCUGGUUCUUUAAACUCUGAUCCUGUGUGUCGUGUAUUAGAGAGCUCAGUUUCUCUAAAGUUUUCAGACCUGUUGUUGUUUCUGUUGUUGUUGUUACUCUUUCUGUUGAUACUGUUAUUGUUUGUGUUGAUUUGCUGCUGUUUCUGUUAUUGUUGUUGUAACUGAUCCUGUUGAUACUGUUGUUGUUGCUGUCACUGUUGUAGCUGUUUCUGUUGUUGUUGAUUCUGUUGAUUUUGUUGCUGUUUCUGUAGAUUCUGUUGUUGUUUCUGUUGAUUUUGUUUCUGUUGUUGUUUUUCUUCUUCUUUUUCUUUUUCUUCUUCUUCUUCUUCUUCUUCUUCUUCCUUCUCUUCCUCUUCUUCUUCUUCUUCUUCUUCUUCUUCUUCUUCUUCUUCUUUCAGCGUUAGAACAUCCUAGGAUGGUAAACCUGAUCUGUUCUGCUUAUAAGGAGGUUGAGCAUCAUCUCUGAUUCUACGUUCAUGUUUCAGACAGUAUUUGACGCAUGCCCAAACAAAAGCCGCUCCUCUCUAACCUCUCCGCCAGAUCCUCUCUUCCUCUCUCGUGUUUUGGCGUCAUGAUCAUACGCAGGCUGACGCAGUCUGAGCAGGUCAAACAUGGUAACCCUGUGUUGUAUUCCUGGAGGUCACGGAGCUGAUGAGAUGAGUCUGUCAGCAGGGUUUGAGUCUUUGUUAAGGACAGGGUCUGAGCUGUUUCCUGAACCUUAGUGACCCUCUCCAACACUUAUAUAACCACAGAAACACUCUCAGAGAUCAUCACUCAUGUUAAUGGUUAGAACCAAACACUUCAGGACAACAGGCGUCUGUGACCAGGUCACUGUAGAAGGCCAGAGAUGGAUUUCUGUCAGAGCUGGACCAAUCAAAGAGCAGGAUUUAAUAGAGACCAGCAUCUACUGGCUGAGGAUGAAUCUUUAAUCAGUUCAUAUGAACUCAAUUGCUGACGUCCGAUAAAACACUUUCUCCUCUGCUUCCUGGAAGAUGAAACACAUCUAACCUUCCUCACUCUCCCCUCUCUUUUUCUCUUUCUCUCUCUCUCUCUUUUCUGACUCUAGCAGCUUGUUUUCUAGUAUUUCUGCAGCAGGACGGUUUUUUUGGUCUUUAUGUGGUUGGUACUGUUUCUUACUUUGAAAAUCAGUAGAAGCACCUUUACCUCUUAAUUCAGCACCUGAAGUCAGUCCUCUCCAAACUUUAGCGGGUUGAAUCUGAUCAGGGUUCAGCCUUCCUUCAUAUUUCUGAACUGUGUUCAGGCACUGGAUUUGGCUAAAUGUUGUCUCUCAGGUCACUCUUGAUAGUUGGCGAACUUUUUGACCUUGUGUUUUGGGGACUUUUUUGAGUCCAAUUGCGGUAUCAUGGAUGAAAGUUUGUAUUUUAAUUUUUUUAUCUGUCAUUAUUGAUUUAAUUCCUGUAAUAAUCAGAAUAAAGGUGAAUGACCAGUAUUAGCUCGAGGUUUGGAUCAUGGAUGUAUACUAUACUAUACUAUACUAUACUAUACUAUACUAUACUAUACUAUACUAUACUAUACUAUACUAUACUAUUCUGUGCUAUACUAUUCUGUGCUAUACUAUGCUAUACUAUAAUAUGAUAUAAUAUAAUAUAAUAUAAUAUAAUAUAAUAUAAUAUAAUAUAAUAAAUGUCAUACAUUAAUGAUCCAACAGUUUACGAAAAAACAACAUACUGUUAGAAGUAUACCAACAUCAUUUAAUCAGCUGUUUAUCUGCUUUGCUUUUGAUGAAGAUGUGAGUGAGGAUGAUUCUUAUCAGAAGAUGGAUAAUGGCUGAAAAACAGGGUCAGAGCUCACUGUGGAUUUAGCAUCACUGCAGCUCCUGUUACUGUAUUCACAGUGUGAAUAGGAAGUCUCCUGGAACCCACACAGAACAAUCCCAUAAUUCAGAAGACUGACUCGGCCAGAUUAUGGGCCUUAACCCUGGGAGGGUCUGCAUAAAAUAAUUCGUAACUGACCCUAACAGCCUCUAUAGGCAGAUUUUGGUCUCUGUAGUAGCAGUGAUGUCUAUUAACUCAGAUCUCUGAAUGUUACAGGAAACCUGUCUUCACUCAGCGCUUGGCCGGGGUUAAUUUCAGACCCUCUUUUGAGUUUCUGCAGAUUAAUUCUAAUAUUAUGUUUCAUUGAAAAUGCUUUAAACAGAAAUCUGAGCAGGCUGUCUAUGCCGAACUCUCAUCAACCUGGAAAAGUUCAUUAAUAAAUAAUGAAGCUCCAUUUAAGGUCCUAAUUUACAGAGGUACAGAGAAUGAAAAGAAACUGAGCUCAAGUCUCUGUACCGUUACAGCUCAGUAGUGAGUGGGGGGUGUCUGCAGAGGGUUUGGUCCAGGGUUUCUAGCUUCUCCUGACUCUGAGUGUUUCUCUGUUUGCUCUGCCGCGUGAUGCUCACUGAGCACAGGAUGCAAAUGAAGUCUGAAAUAAAGAGAGACAGGAAGCAGGAUGCAAAUGAGAGACAGAGACUGCAGCAGGAAAUGGAUGAGGGGGCACAGUUCAUGUGCAGGUGUACAGUAACAAGACACACGUACACACACGUAUACAUUUAUUUAUACACACAUUUAUAAACACACUCACACUUAACACGCUCAUGUUACCUCAUUGAAGGAUGAGGCUUUUGGAGAAUGUGAGGUAGAAUUUAGUCAAAUUUUCUGAUUUUUAAACAUUUAGUUUUUCUAACAGAUCCAUCUGUGAGGCUGAGAGUUCAGCUUUAACUCUGUUAGUCAUCCUGCUCAACACACACACACACACACACACACACAUAUACACACACACGCGUGCUCACAGAAACACACACUCAGACCACACACCUCCUACAUACCUGCUGCUCUGCGGAUGUGAGGGGACAGAGAUUAGCUGUGUGUGGGAGGACAGUCAGCACUGCUGUGCAUGUGUAUGUGUGUGUGCGUGUGUGUGUGUGUGUGUGUGUGUGUAUGUGUGUGUGUGUGUGAGUGAGUAGUGGGUGUUGGGGACAGUAGUCAUUCAACCAGCCACCCCUGUUGUGUCAAGAAUAAGCAGCACACACACAUAUGUACGUCUAUAUUAUGAUAAGGGGCGGAGCUUGUUGCAGGUUGUCGGUAUGUAUAAUUUAUUGUAAAGGGGCGGGGCUUGUUGUAAGUUGUCGGUAUAUAUAAUUUAUUGUAAAGGGGCGGGGCUUGUUGCAGGUUGUCGGUAUGUAUAGUUUAUUGUAAAGGGGCAGGGCUUGUUGUAAGUUGUCGGUAUGUAUAAUUUAUUGUAAAGGGGCGGGGCUUGUUGUAGGUUGCUUGUUGGUGGAUUGAGCAGACUCUCUUAGAUGUUGGUUUCAAUCCUGCUGCAGGACUUCUUCUGCAACCCUUUUGCCUUGCUUUAAUUCAGCCAAUAACAGCCCUGGGAUCGUCUGGAGUUGUAUUCCUCUGUAAACAUCCAGAAUUCUGUCAGAGCGGAGGAUCUGGCAGCUGCAUCCUGAACUGAGAGAGUGACAGUGAUGGCUGAUGUCUCCAAGAAAAUCUCUCUAAUCUCCCAGAAAUCCAUUUUUAGUCCCCCUGCCUCAUCCUCGCUCUGCCACCACGCCGGCUCAUUAUCACUGCAGUACAUCCAGAAGGUUUACAGAGUCAAUACUUAGAGUUUGUAUUUUCAGUCAUUUCACACCAUGGAGGAAACUCAUCAACAUGGAGGAGGAGACGCUCUGACACCUUUGGGAUCACAGAAACACUGAGGCUGUUUUUCUGAUUACAAUACAAACCGCAGC